rnacentral:rRNA from 1 species
UACAGAGGUCCCCGAGCGUUGUUCGGAUUCAUUGGGCGUAAAGGGUGCGUAGGCGGUCUGCUAAGUUUGAUGUGAAAUCCCGGGGCUCAACCCUGGAAUGGCAUUGAAUACUGGUGGACUAGAGUACUGGAGAGGAAACUGGAAUUUACGGUGUAGCAGUGAAAUGCGUAGAGAUCGUAAGGAAGACCAGUGGCGAAGGCGAGUUUUCUGGACAGUAACUGACGCUGAGGCACGAAGGCCAGGGGGAGCAAACGGG